rnacentral:rRNA from 1 species
AUUGAACGCUGGCGGCGGGCCUAACACAUGCAAGUCGAACGAGUGGCGGACGGGUGAGUAAUGUCUGGGAAACUGCCCGAUGGAGGGGGCUAACUACUGGAAACGGUAGCUAAUACCGCAUACCAUCGGAUGUGCCCAGAUGGGAUUAGCUAGUAGGUGGGGUAAUGGCUCACCUAGGCGACAAUCCCUAGCUGGUCUGAGAGGAUGACCGGCCACACUGGAAUGGAGACACGGUCCAGACUCCUACGGGAGGCAGAAGGGGGGAAUAUUGCACAAUGGGCGAAAGCCUGAUGAAGCCAUGCGGCGUGUAUGAAGAAGGCCUUCGGGUUGUAAAGUACUUUCAGCGAGGAGGCGGUACUCGAAGAAGAAGCAACGGCUAACUCCGUGCCAGCAGCCGCGGUAAUUC